UGUGAGCUGGGUUGAUCUAUGACUGUGUGAGUGGGGUUGAUCUUUGAUUGUGUGUGAGCUGGGUUGAUCUAUGACUGUGUGUGAGGUGGGCUGAUUAGGGACUGUGUGUGGACUGAGCUGAUAUAGGACUGCGUGUGAGCUAGGUUGAUCUAUGACUGUGUGAGCUAGGUUGAGAUAGGACUGUAUGUGAGCUGGGUUGAUCUGUGACUGUGUGAGUUGGGUUGAUCUAUGACUGCGUGUGAGUUCAGUUGAUCUAUGAUUCUGUGUGAGCUGGGCUGAUUAGGGACUGUGUGUGAGCUCAGUUGAUCUAUGACUGUAUGUGAGCUGGGCUAAUCUAUGAUUGUGUGUGAGCUAGGCUGAUUUAGGACUGUGUGUGAGCUGGGCUGGGCUAAUCUAUGAUUGUGUGUGAGCUGGUUGGUUUAUGGCUGCCUGUGGUCUGGGUAAUAUAGGACUGCCUAUGAGCUAGCCUAAUAUAGGACUG